rnacentral:rRNA from 1 species
GACGAACACUGGCGGCGUGCUUAACACAUGCAAGUCGAACGAUGAAGCCGGAGCUUGCUCUUAUGAAGUUAGCGGCGGACGGGUGAGUAACACGUGAGUAACCUGCCCCGAACUCUGGGAUAACUGCUGGAAACGGUAGCUAAUACUGGAUACGACCAACGAAGGCAUCUUCUGUUGGUGGAAAGAAUUUCGGUUCGGGAUGGACUCGCGGCCUAUCAGCUUGUUGGUGAGGUAACGGCUCACCAAGGCGACGACGGGUAGCCGGCCUGAGAGGGUGAUCGGCAACACUGGGACUGAGACACGGCCCAGACUCCUACGGGAGGCAGCAGUGGGGAAUAUUGCACAAUGGGCGCAAGCCUGAUGCAGCAACGCCGCGUGAGGGACGACGGCCUUCGGGUUGUAAACCUCUUUUAGUAGGGAAGAAGCGAAAGUGACGGUACCUGCAGAAAAAGCACCGGCUAACUACGUGCCAGCAGCCGCCGUAA